rnacentral:rRNA from 1 species
AGCCACCUUCGGGUGGUGGAAAGUGGCAGACGGGUGAGUAACGCGUGGGAACGUGCCUUUCGGUUCGGGAUAACCCAGGGAAACUUGGGCUAAUACCGGAUACGCCCUUCGGGGGAAAGAUUCAUUGCCGAAAGAUCGGCCCGCGUCGGAUUAGCUAGUUGGUGGGGUAAAAGCCUACCAAGGCGACGAUCCGUAGCUGGUCUGAGAGGAUGACCAGCCACACUGGGACUGAGACACGGCCCAGACUCCUACGGGAGGCAGCAGUGGGGAAUAUUGGACAAUGGGCGCAAGCCUGAUCCAGCCAUGCCGCGUGGGUGAAGAAGGCCCUAGGG